rnacentral:lncRNA from 1 species
AAGCAAAGAAGGUAGCGACACUGGAAGGGAGAAGAAGAAAGACUGGAGAAGAGAAACAAAGAAAGAAAAGUAGAGAGAGAAGAAGAGAGGAAGAGAAAGAUAUAUAGAGAUAUUAGUUCUGUCCCAGCUCUAGGAUUGGGAGGGUAACUAGAUUAUUAAGUUGUGACUCAGUAUUUUCCUAGGAAAGUCAUGACUCCAGCAAAGGCUUACUUAUAAAUAUUUGUGUUCACCUCCUCUGACACACAAUCUGUGUAGCUCCACAGUUUGAAAACAGGUCAAGUAAAGGUGAACAAUUUCUCCUUGGAACUUUCUUGUUUCCAUUCUUCCAACAG